rnacentral:lncRNA from 1 species
GCUGGAAGUGUGGAUGUCUGUAAACAAACCUGUCUGGUGAAGAGCAUCAGGUGUGCCUAGCACAUCCUGAUUCUUAACAUUUCUCUUUCCACAGUCAAGAUAACAGGAAUACAUCGUUAGGCUGAUUCCAACUCAGAUAUAUGAUGACAGAAAAGAGAAGGAAGUGUGGCAGAGGAGGAAAUUCACAGGUAGUCAGCAUCUGCUGAUGCCAGGCCCCUUGCGUUAUUCCCCAGCACAUCUUUUGAACUUCUGGCUCCAUCUCAGUGUCUGCUUCCUAGAGAACUCCAAUGGUGGUUCCAAGAGAACAACCAGGAAGGUAGAGUUUUGUGACUCGAUCUCUGCCCAGCUGGCAAAGACACCCCAUCCCAGGUGGUCAGUGGAGCAUGGACAGACUGUGGCACAAAGUGGUGGCUGAUUGCCAAAACUUCAAUGUGGUAACUUGGAGAAUACCGCAGUGCAGGCGAAUGCAGUGAUUGGUAUAAUGAUAUAGGUUUUUGGACUACAUGGGGGGAAUGAUAAAUAUUAGGAUAAUGGAACUGAGUGAUUGUUACUGUUUCAUUGACACUCUACAGAUAGCUAAUGAAAGGCUGAGAGCAAUUAACUAGCAAUUGAAUAUUGAAUGUUAGAGCCAGACAGUCUCUUUGGUAGUUAACAAAAAAGGGCUGUCUCACGUAGUGAACAAAGAAAAAGCUGAAUAUCAACCCAAGAUCUAAUAGAAUGGUUACAUUUCAAAGAUGGUUGGAUGUUCAACCAAGGCAAGUAUUUUAUGCUGAAGUCAGGCCCCUGACUGGGAAAACCUAGGGCUCUGACACAUAGGAUGUGGACAAUCUGGAUGGAUUCUCCUAAAGUGUUUGCUUCCCCAAGCUUCUAGGACUCUUCUGAGCUUAUGGAAGUUCCCUAUUCUACUACUCUCUAUUCUCCUACUCUCUAUUAAGAGCUACUACUGGUUACCCCAAUGUGGGAGGAGAAUACAGAGCUCUUCCCCUCACAAGGCAAAAGUUACUCCCUCAGGAGACGACCCACUUCCUCUCUGGCUGCUGAACUUGUAACCAUCAGUGAGUUUCACCAUAAUCCAGGGGGGGAUGUGCUGAGCUGCAGGAAGAAGGAAAGCGUCUAUAUAUAAUGGAAUCGAAUGACCUAGCCAGGGGCUGGGGGAGUAUCUGUGAGACUGAUUCCUGAAUGUGCUCAGUCCCAGGGGCCAGAGCAUAAGAUUGAAUAAGGGAUAGAGGGUUCAAUAUGGAAGGAACCUAGGGGUUGG